rnacentral:rRNA from 1 species
UACGAAGGGGGCUAGCGUUGCUCGGAAUUACUGGGCGUAAAGGGCGCGUAGGCGGUUUCGUAAGUCCCGUGUGAAAGCCCCCGGCUCAACUGGGGAACGGCACGGGAAACUGCGAGGCUUGAGUUCGGGAGAGGGAAGCGGAAUUCCGGGUGUAGCGGUGAAAUGCGUAGAUAUCCGGAGGAACACCAGUGGCGAAGGCGGCUUCCUGGACCGAUACUGACGCUGAGGCGCGAAAGCUAGGGGAGCAAACGGG